AUACCGUGAAACUGCGAAUGGCUCAUUAAAUCAGUUAUCGUUUAUUUGAUAGUACCUUACUACUUGGAUAACCGUGGUAAUUCUAGAGCUAAUACAUGCUGAAAACCCCAACUUCGGGAGGGGUGUAUUUAUUAGAUAAAAAACCAACGCCCUUCGGGGCUUCUUGGUGAUUCAUGAUAACUUCACGGAUCGCAUGGCCUUGCGCCGGCGACGGUUCAUUCAAAUUUCUGCCCUAUCAACUUUCGAUGGUAAGGUAUUGGCUUACCAUGGUUUCAACGGGUAACGGGGAAUUAGGGUUCGAUUCCGGAGAGGGAGCCUGAGAAACGGCUACCACAUCCAAGGAAGGCAGCAGGCGCGCAAAUUACCCAAUCCCGACACGGGGAGGUAGUGACAAUAAAUACUGAUACAGGGCUCUUUUGGGUCUUGUAAUUGGAAUGAGUACAAUUUAAACCUCUUAACGAGGAACAAUUGGAGGGCAAGUCUGGUGCCAGCAGCCGCGGUAAUUCCAGCUCCAAUAGCGUAUAUUAAAGUUGUUGCAGUUAAAAAGCUCGUAGUUGAAACUUGGGCCUGGCUGGCAGGUCCGCCUCACCGCGUGUACUUGUCCCGGCCGGGCCUUUCCUUCUGGAGAACCUCAUGCCCUUCACUGGGUGUGUUGGGGAACCAGGACUUUUACUUUGAAAAAAUUAAAGUGUUCAAAGCAGGCCUUUGCUCGAAUACGUUAGCAUGGAAAUAAUAGAAUAGGACGUGCGGUCCUAUUUUUGUUGGUUUCUAGGACCGCCGUAAUGAUUUAUAGGGACAGUCGGGGGCAUCCGUAUUCAUUUGUUAAAGGUGAAAUUCUUGCAUUUUAUUG
rnacentral:rRNA from 1 species